rnacentral:lncRNA from 1 species
CAUUAUUACAAAUGUGUAAUUACAAAUAUAUUUAACUACAUUUUCAAUAGAAAUUACAUUAAAGUACAUUUAAGUUAAAUAAAUGCUUGUCAGUACAUUUGACAGUAAAUUUUAACCGUAUUUCAAAGACAAUUUUAAUAAUUACAUGAAAAGAUGUACAUAAGUCUUAUAACUAUGUCAAAAAAGCUCUCUUAAAUUCAACUAUUUACAUUAAUAUAAAUUUAAAUCACAAUAUAUUAUAAAUAACAUGCAAUUAAGCCUCCAAAAAUUAUUAUUAUCAGUUUAAGUAUAUUCUUUUAAAGUAUAGCCUAUUAUUUAUAUAAUCAUUUUUUUAGUAAGUUAAAGUGCACAGACAUAGAAACAAAAACAUACCAGAAUUUUAUUUUUGUGUGUACUAUGACUUCAUACACUUUAUACUGCUUCAGCAUAAUUUGUUAUUUAAUAUAAUACAUCCAAAUUAUUCUCCUAAUUCCAAUAAUUCUGUAAGCGAUUUGGUUCUGCCUAGAAUUACCAACUGUACAAAAGUGCAUGUAGAGUGGAACAAAAUUAUUAAUUAGGAUUCACCAAUAAUAGGUCCUCUAAUUUUUUCUUCAGCGCUAUAUUUGGGGGGUUUCAGGUUGAACACAGUGAUGUAUUACCUUCCACAAUAUGUGUCAGUUUAUGGUUGCUUUUUGUCAUUAUCAGUCUCUGUGGAUGUUCAGCUUGAAGAUGAUUCUGCAGACCGUCCCGUGUCUGUGCAGUCGAGCCACACUCCUCACACACAUACAGUUUGUCCCUACGCUCUUUGUAGGCAUACUGUUGAGUAACGGCAUGGAUCUUCUUCAGUUGUGAAGCAGGAGUAGUCUGCAAUGCUGCCCUCAGAGACUUCAUGCACAUAUGGUGGAAAAAUGGACUCUAAGAAGCAGAAAGAGCAAAGAGAUUUUUAAGUCGGAGCAGAAAGAGAUCAACAGUUUUUGACUGGCCACUAAUUUCAGGUAUGUUUCUUUUCAUUUUUAUUAUUGUAAGGAUUAAAGAACCUGAGAUACUUUGAUCUCCUGAGAAACAGACAAUACAAACAUACACGGGCAUCUUCGAGACACCCCACAGAGUGGAGGUGCAGGAGACCUCCUUCCCUUCUGGCCAUUUGUUUCAUUUUAAAUCCCUUCACCCAUGCUUUCUUCUACUCAAUCUGCUCAAAAUGAUUACAUGAAAAUGUCAAUGCAAGUGAACUAACAGUCAUGUCUGGUAUCAUUUGAAAUGUCUCAGUGCAACUGGUACAAUGGUCUCAAUCUUACAAAAGUAGAUUAAAAGAUAAUACAGAUCCUAAGAGUUAAGAGAUAUUUUGCCUACUGUGAUGGGAGUGCCCCUUCCCAGGGUCCUCCAUGUAAAUUACCUCCUGUUCCCAUUGAGUUGUAAAACCACCCAGGCUUGGGACCUGAGUUAGUACUCAGUUGCAGUAACUAUGGGGGGCUAGUCAGAGCACUGGUCAUAACCGCUGGUUAUUGUCUCAGCUUUAAUUAAGUUGUACGCAGUUAUAUAACUGUCGGGGGGCUAGACAGGUAGUGCUAGCAUAACCGCUGAUUAUUGUUUUGGAGACUUUAUUUAAGUUGUACGUAGUUAAUCUUAACUAUCGGGGCUUAGACAAAGACUACUAGACAUAACCUACUGAUUAUUGUACGUAGUUAAUCUUAACUAUCGGGGCUAGACAAAGAGUACUAGCAUAACCUCUGAUUAUUGUCUCAGCUUUAAUUAAGUUGUACGUAGUUAUAUGACUGUCGGGGGGGCUAGACAGAUAGUGCUAGCAUAACCGCUGAUUAUUGUGGUGAGCUUUAACUAAGUUGUACAUGGGUAACUGAGGGGGACUAAACGAAAAUACUAUUUCAAAUAUGGUAAGUAUGGGUAACCUAUUAAAUAGUAUUAGUCAUAACCUCUGACUACUGUUUAGACUGGCGAGUUUGUGAUCGUGGGGCACACGUAGAAGAACGGCCGUCGUGGGGCACCCUGAGCGACAUAGAUUCCUAAUGAACAAGUAAAUAUAAAGUAAAGAGUUAACUAGAAUAAUCCAAUGUCAGAAUAAUAAUAAUAAUAAUUAGAGACAGACAAUCAACCAAUUUGCCUUUCAACCUAAAUUCGAGGUCAUACUAAAAUGGAGUCAGAUGAAUUAUUAAAAUGGAGUCAGAUGAAAUAUUAAAAUGGAGUCAGAUUAGAAUUGGAUUUAAAUUGAAUAACUCUACACGCUGAAAAGACCGAACGCGCAAGAAACAACUCUUAAAGGGACUGCAGUCCAAUAUUACUGCUGCUGUCUGUCAUGUUAAUCAAAGAACAAAAGACAAAGAAAAUCACUUUCUGCUCUUGACUGAAUACUUUUUUGAACUUAAAUGGUAAGCAUUAAUUUGUAUUUAAUUUUUACAAUGAAGACAGAAAUUACCUUUGAUAAAAUUUA